rnacentral:lncRNA from 10 species
GGCCGCUCCUCCUCUCCGCCAAGGGCCGGUUCAGGCACAGGCCCCGCCGAGGCUGCCCCUGACUUGAGGGCUCACGCACCGGGCUGCUUGCGGCUCUGGACUAUUGUGAAUAAGGCCGGUGCCUCAGCACAGCUCUGCACCUCGGAGGACUCGGGGAAGUUUCUGGGCCUAUUUGGGCAAUAGGAGAAGGUCAUGGGCUGUCUUUCCAAAAUUCACGUCCACCCAGAACCCCCGAAUGAGACCUAUUUAAAGAGAAGGCCUUAGCUGAUGGAACAUUAAGAUGAGGCCACCCUGGAGCAGGGUGGGCCCUGAAUCCGAGGCUGCUGUCCCUGCAAGGUGACGAGAGGGUGCAGGCGUGGAGGAGACACAUGGGGGUGGGGUGAGGAACAGG